rnacentral:lncRNA from 1 species
CUCUCCAGGCUCGGGGUCGGGAAUGAGCGAGGGUCCGGCAGAUUUGGGGCUCCGAGGCCACAGAUGGGGCCCAUGAGUGAGGAGGACAAGAGAGAAAGGAGAAGUUUGGGUGUAAAUCCCAGAGAUUGUUCAUCAUGUGAGAGGAGCCGUGCAUGCAUUUCAUGCCAUACUCACACCAUGGAUGGAGAAAAAAAAUCAAGCUUCACUUUCUGAGAAUGGCCCUGGGGGCACUGCAUCUAGUGCCUGUGCAUCUGCAGACCUGCCGGAUGCCUCCAGGGGAAUCAUGCCACCCCAAGCAAGAAAGGGCCCAGUUGCCAGGAGCCUGGAGGCAGAGAGCUGAGGAGCCAGCCCCUGACAUCAGAAUGGAGCUCAAAGGUUGGCUGGGUGUGACUCUGCCGUGGACAGCUUCUCUUGGGAAAUCUACUUUAAUGAAUCCAGGGGACCAAUUUGUAAUCAGCCCAUCAGAUGUUCAGCGACACUUAGCUGGAAUCUCGUUGCUGGACUCUGUGCCCCGCAGUGGAUGACAGUUCUCCAUCAGGGUCUGCAGUCCUCUACCCUGGACUUGCUGCAUCCUGGAGCCCCCAGCAGUCAGGUACCGGCUCUCAGAACUGCCUGCAUCCCAUUGGCCUGAGCUGCUGUCUGCCAGGGCUGCUGGUAACCAGGCCCACAGGGUUGGAUAUUCCCCCAACAGGGCAGCUCCCAGUCCAAGCCCAACUGUUACCAGCCCAGAAAGAUGUUUCAGGAUACCCCUUUCCUCCCCACUUCCCUGCCCUCUGCAGCUCCAGCUGGUGCACCCCAUCUUUCUCUCCCCCUCCCUGCUAGGCUGGGCCCUAACAGGAGACCUUUGAGGUGGUUGGGCUUGUUCUGCAACCUUGAGUACCCUUGAGCUACUGCCUCACUCCUCAGUUUUCUUCUUCUUAAGGUUUCUAAUUGGACUUUGCCAGUGUAUUUAUUUCAAAACUGGUCAUCUUACUGACCUCGCUCAUAGUCUCUUAUUACUUUUCUAGUUGAUUCUCUUGAGUUUUCUGGAUAAACAAUAAUAUCAUGUACAAAUAAUGAUGACAAUUUCUCCUCCUUUCCAAAUGUUGUGUUUCCUUUUGUGUAUUAAUGUACUCUUGCCUUGGCUAAAACUUCCAAAACAAUGUAAAAUAAUUGUGUUAAUAGCAGGCUUUCUCAUUCUACCCUGACUAAAAUAUGAAUGACCCUGGCUAGGUGUUUUAUUGCUAAGAAUGAUGUUGACGGUUGGUUGCAGAUAGGUUUUUUUUAUUAUUAUUAUGCCAAGGAAAUGUUCUUUUAUUUUUAUUUUACUAAGGGUUUUCAGCAGAAUGGAUAUUCAGUUCUGUCAAAUGAGUUUUUGAUGUCAGUUAAGAUGAUCACAAAACUAUUUCCUUUCUGGUAAUUGACAUGAUUAAUUAUAGGGGUGGAUUUUCUGAUAUGUAAACGUCAUCACUUCUAAUGUAGACAUCUUUGAAUUGCGGAAGAGAUCCAUUGCCAGGGAGAAUCUGUAUUGGUUGGAUCUGUAUUGUGCUGAGUCCCAUGAAUGUGAACUCAUAACUUUUCCCGCAUCACCCCCUAAUCCAGGAUGGCCUGUCAGGCAGGAGCACUGUGACGCCUAAGGGCUUGAGCUGGGGCUCUGGAGAGCUGGAUGGGGUGUCAGCUUGUCCCAGGGUGAUCUUUCUAAAGGCCAGUCCAAUCACAUGACUCCCUUUAGUGGCUCCCCAUUGCCUUCAGCAGGAAACUCGAGCUUCUGUGUGCAUUUUCCAGGCCUCUUACAACUGGCCUCUGUCCACACCACUUAUCACCUCCAAUCUCUCACCUAGAACCAUAUAGGACCAGAACUCCUGGAAGGAGGCUCCCCCACAUCUCCUAUGCCUCCGGCCCUCUCACUUGGCUGCUCUCCUGCCUGGAAUGUCCUUUCCACCUUCCUUCCCAGGCAGGACUUAUCAGUCCCUGCUCUUCCGACCCCACAAAGCUCAGUUACUGCGUCAUUGCUACUUACCAGGGGGAGGUUAGUUUCUAUGUUCACCUCUAUCUCUAGAAGCCCCAGGAGGUUGAGGACCUGCCUGAUCCACCCCAUCUCAUCUCCCAGCCCAGUGUCUGCCCCAUCACAAAUGUUGCUCAAUCAGCCCUAGGUCAAACAUUUUGUUCACACUCAUGGACCCCCUACUUGACCCACCGCCUGUGACCUGCAGGGUUCGCUGUCCCAGUGGUGGGCACUGAGAGGCCCCAGUCGCAGGCCUCACAGGUGGCUGCAGCUCCCUGGAGCCUCUUUAGAAAAUGCAGUCGGCCUUGUUUCCUCCUCAGAAACAACGACUUAGCACAGCAUCCGGGCCCCAGGGGAGAGUGUUCCCCCCUCAAAAGCUGCUGCCAUUGGAGAUGCAGGAGAGGAAGCCAAGUGGGCCCAGGAGGGACCGGAUGAUUCGGGGUAGAUGGGAGGGAGUGAGCAGGAGGGGCUCUGAUAGGCUGCAUCCCUGGGGUUUCCUGCACAUCCCAGAUGCUGGCACCUGCUCUGGGCCUGGGCCGGCAAUAGCUCUGUGUCUGGCUCUCCACCGGGCCUUGGGUGCAUCCCCUGAUUCCCCCAGGGUCUUCUCACCCGACUCUCCAUGGGAUCCAUUUUCAACUCUCUGUGUUCCCUCAACUACUAGGCAGCCAGCUAGAGUCCUCACCUCUUCAGAAAAGCUGAUACUAGUUAAGCAUCCCAAGUCUGAAAAUCUGAAACCUGCAAUACUCCAGAAUUUGAAACUUUUUGAGCGUGGACAUGAUGCUCAAAGGAAACGCUCAUCAGAGCAUUUCAGAUUUGGGAUUUGGAGAUUUGGGAUGCUUAACCA